GUGGGAUCUGGAGCGACUGGGUGAAGGACAGCGACUCGGGGUUCCAGCUGGGAAUUCGGGAUUGGGAACCUGAGCGAAAUCCCUCUCAGACGCCUGGGUCAGGUCCUGGGUCGUAGGUGCCCUCCUCGAUCCAAGAUGCGGUAGGAAUUGGCGCCCUGGGGAAGUCCUGUCCUUGGCGUCACCAACUCGUCGCCCAAGCUCAUGGCGACCCCAGGCCUGGGGCUGCUCUUGGCGUUUGGCUUGCCGAUGCUGCCCUCCGGCUGGAGCUUAACAACACCGGAUCAUUUCACAAAUAGCACGACUCAACCCCCAGACGACGGGUCCAAUGGGGGCCUGUCUUCAGAGGCUAUUGUAGCCAUCGCUGUGGUCUUUUCCAUUCUGGGAGCCCUCCUCAUAGCAGUGGGGCUGUUCCUGCUAGUGCAAAAACUUCGAGAAAAGCGGCAGACAGAGGGCACCUACCGGCCCAGCAGUGAGGAGCAGGUGGGUGCCCGUGCUCCACACCCCCCCAACCUCAAGCUGCCCCCGGAGGAGCGGCUCAUCUGAACACAGGGGUGUCGGCCAUAGGCCAUCAUCACUACCAACGCCCAGGACUGCCUUGGCACACUCUGACACACAGCAGUCGUCUUGGAGACACGCCGGCCUCUGAUGACUCAGGAGGACUUGGGUUUUCCCACGCAGCAGCUGAGGCCCGGGCCCCCCAGGACUCCAAGGAGCCAGUGCGGGGCUGCCUGCCCAUCUAGCUCCUUCCGUCCUUCCCUGUCAUCCAUCUUCCCUUCCUUGCUGUGUGACCUUGUGGGAAGGCGACACCCUCUCUGGGCAAUCAGACUCACCCAAUGCUUAAGAAUAGAAGGGAAAAAAGUUCUUCAAAGAUCUUGACUUUGAGGGCAAGGAGGAUGGGACUGCUCACUUUUUAUAUAUUUAUAUGAAAUUGAUAGGUACAAUAAAGGUUUUUUUGCUUUUG